AAUAAAAAGUGAAACUCUGGCCAGGAUCCAGGAGCUGACAAAAGAUGGAUCAAAACCUAUUUUCUUUGUGAGCAGUUUGUGAAAUUCACAUUUGAGUAGUGCUAAAUGAUUCUGUUUUUGAGACUGGUUUGGUCUACUGCAAACUGUGGACUGGUUCUCUUACCAGGAGCUUCUAUUUCCUUUCUUUUCUUGGCAGAUAAGUGAAAAGCUCUCAUGUGCUUUGCUCUUUGGAAAAUGUCUGUGGUGGCAUCAAUGUUCUUAGAGGAUUCUUCUCCUGGGAAGCUGAGAGGCCUCAGAGAAAAAGAUAAACAAUAAUUAUCUGAUUUGCUUCUCCUGUUUUGCUGCUUUGGAAUGUGGAUGAGAUGACUGUUCCUAUGCUGGAGCUCUAGCACCUUUGUGUGCCUCUCUUCACAGAAUCCAUGGGGAAGAGGGCUCAAAGUCUUCUCAUAUUCCUGCAGCCCUUUAGAAUAAGGACCAAUUCCAGCAGGCCUGAUGAGAAAUGUGAAUGAAAACCUUGAUUAUUAAAGGCUUU